GAACCGGCGAGUUACGAUUUGAUGCAAGGUUAAGCAGUAAAUGUGGAGCCGUAGCGAAAGCGAGUCUGAAUAGGGCGUUUAGUAUUUGGUCGUAGACCCGAAACCAGGUGAUCUACCCUUGGUCAGGUUGAAGUUCAGGUAACACUGAAUGGAGGACCGAACCGACUUACGUUGAAAAGUGAGCGGAUGAACUGAGGGUAGCGGAGAAAUUCCAAUCGAACCUGGAGAUAGCUGGUUCUCUCCGAAAUAGCUUUAGGGCUAGCCUCAAGUGAUGAUUAUUGGAGGUAGAGCACUGUUUGGACGAGGGGCCCCUCUCGGGUUACCGAAUUCAGACAAACUCCGAAUGCCAAUUAAUUUAACUUGGGAGUCAGAACAUGGGUGAUAAGGUCCGUGUUCGAAAGGGAAACAGCCCAGACCACCAGCUAAGGUCCCAAAAUAUAUGUUAAGUGGAAAAGGAUGUGGCGUUGCCCAGACAACUAGGAUGUUGGCUUAGAAGCAGCCAUCAUUUAAAGAGUGCGUAAUAGCUCACUAGUCGAGUGACACUGCGCCGAAAAUGUACCGGGGCUAAACAUAUUACCGAAGCUGUGGAUUGUCCUUUGGACAAUGGUAGGAGAGCGUUCUAAGGGCGUUGAAGCAUGAUCGUAAGGACAUGUGGAGCGCUUAGAAGUGAGAAUGCCGGUGUGAGUAGCGAAAGACGGGUGAGAAUCCCGUCCACCGAUUGACUAAGGUUUCCAGAGGAAGGCUCGUCCGCUCUGGGUUAGUCGGGUCCUAAGCUGAGGCCGACAGGCGUAGGCGAUGGAUAACAGGUUGAUAUUCCUGUACCACCUAUAAUCGUUUUAAUCGAUGGGGGGACGCAGUAGGAUAGGCGAAGCGUGCGAUUGGAUUGCACGUCUAAGCAGUAAGGCUGAGUAUUAGGCAAAUCCGGUACUCGUUAAGGCUGAGCAGUGAUGGGGAGAAGACAUUG
rnacentral:rRNA from 1 species